UCCAAGGUGAAUGUUUAAUGUGUCUUGU
rnacentral:piRNA from 1 species